rnacentral:rRNA from 1 species
AUGGACGUGGCGGGGGCGCAGGCGCGCGCGCUGCCGCUCCUCCUCGGCCGCCCGGCCGCCUCACUCCGGUGCUCCGUCUCGUUCUCCUGCGGCGGCGCGCGGCGGAGCUGGGCCGCCACGGCGGAUGGGGAGGACGGCAGCCGCGACUACGAGCGGGUGGCCAUGGACACCUCCGGCGCGUACCGGCUCGUGGACCGGAGCACCGGGAAGAGCGUCAUCGUGUGGGGCGGCGUCGACGACGACGGCGUGCCGUCCCCGGCGGUCCUCUCCAGGGUCACCGCCGACCGCUGCGCCUCCAAAGGUGCAGAAAAUGGGGGGAGUACUGCAGGUGUUGGGAGCUUUGGAAGACUCAAGGCGCAGAAAGUGCAGGCUUUAGCUAGGAGAUCAGCAGCCCAGCUCAAGAGGGAGGGCACUUGUGGCCGCACAAGCAUCGCACGGCCUAGUGAAUCUCCUUAUGCUGAUUCUGAUGAAGAUGGAAGCAAAUCUGGAAGAAGGAAGUCUGUCUCAGACCGCGCAAAACCGAAUGGUGACUCCGGGGAUGAGAGGAGCAGGGCCGUGCGUUCUCUGAAUUCUGUCCUGAGGCAAUACAAAGGCGACGAUGAUUCAGAUUUUUCUGAUGAAGAGCCUGCUUCUGGCCCCAAAGUUUGGGGUAAAGUUGCCGAUGCUACGUCUUAUAGAAGAGAGGAUCGGAAGCAGAAGGCCCCUUUGGACAGUGGGUUUUUCAGCCGCAGAUCUUUUAAGGAGAUUGGCUGCGGCGAUGAGAUUCUAGGUGCAUUGAGAACCUUUGGGUUUCCUCAACCAUCACAUAUUCAGGCUAUGGCAUAUGGUCCUGUCUUGGAGGGGAGGAGUUGCAUUAUUGCUGAUCAGAGUGGGUCUGGCAAGACAUUGGCAUAUCUCUGCCCUAUAGUUCAAAAUUUAAGGAAGGAAGAAGCUAUGGGGAUCCACAAACCAUCGCCCAGGAACCCGCGAGUCAUAAUAUUGACACCUACUGCUGAACUUUCUUCUCAGGUCCUUCAGAAUUGCCGUUCAAUUUCAAAAUCUGGGGUCCCCUUCAGGUCUAUGGUUGCGACCGGUGGAUUUCGACAGAAGACGCAGCUGGAAAGCCUUGAUCAAGAGCUAGAUGUACUUAUAGCAACACCUGGUCGGUUCCUGUAUCUGCUUCAGGAAGGCUUUGUGCAGCUAAAUAACCUCAGAUGUGCCGUGUUCGAUGAAGUGGAUAUUUUAUUUAGUGAAGAAGGCUUUGAACAAGUGCUUCAUCAGUUGAUUACUGUCGCACCAGUGACCACACAAUAUCUUUUUGUCACUGCAACUCUUCCUCUUGAUAUAUAUAACAAGGUUGUUGAAACCUUUCCCGACUGUGAGGUGAUCAUGGGACCUAGUGUCCACCGGACAAGCGCCCGUCUUGAAGAGAUUCUUGUGGACUGCAGUGGAAAUGACAGUGAUGAAAAGAAUCCGGAAACAGCCUUUUCAAACAAGAGAACAGCACUUCUAAAGAUUAUUGAGGAAUCUCCAGUUCGUAAAACAAUCGUUUUCUGCAAUAAGAUUGAGACAUGUAGAAAGGUUGAGAACGUGCUGACACGGCUGGACAGGAAGGCGUCACAGAUCAAGGUUCUACCGUUCCAUGCUGCACUGGACCAGGCGAAACGCAUCGCAAACAUGAAAGAGUUCCUGAAGAAACAGACUAACGACUCAAUGUUCCUCGUGUGCACAGACAGAGCUUCGCGAGGGAUCGACUUCACAAACGUGAACCACGUGGUGCUCUUCGACUACCCCCGCGACCCGAGCGAGUACGUGCGCAGGGUCGGCAGGACGGCCCGUGGCGCGUCGGGCGACGGCAAGGCUUUUGUGUUCGCGGUGGGCAAGCAGGUGUCCCUGGCCAGGAGGGUGAUGGAGAGGAACCUCAAGGGGCACCCGCUGCACGACGUCCCGUGCUUCUAG